AAACCGAGGAAGAAAGCAAGAAAUGAGGGAAUUCCGAGGGGAGGCGGAAACCCUAACGGUAAGGCCAGGAAUAGGGAAGAUGUGUCUGGGGGAGAAGCGGAGGAAGAGAAAAAGAGAAGGUUUCUUGUUUCCUCUCUGUUUCCGUUUGCUUCUUUUUAGGGUUCCGUUCAGAUGACCGGAAUUUUUGCGCUCGCCGGCCGUUUCCGCCAGAGGAGAGGGAAGAUGGAGGGGAGAAGUAAGGAAGAUGCCAUGAGAGGGCCCGCGAUGCACGAAACAGAGCGAUGCACGGGAGAAAGGAGAGGUG
rnacentral:lncRNA from 1 species